rnacentral:rRNA from 1 species
AAAUUGAAGAGUUUGAUCAUGGCUCAGAUUGAACGCUGGCGGCAGGCCUAACACAUGCAAGUCGAACGGUAACAGGAAGAAGCUUGCUUCUUUGCUGACGAGUGGCGGACGGGUGAGUAAUGUCUGGGAAACUACCUGAUGGAGGGGGAUAACUACUGGAAACGGUAGCUAAUACCGCAUAACGUCGCAAGACCAAAGAGGGGGACCUUCGGGCCUCUUGCCAUCGGAUGUGCCCAGAUGGGAUUAGCUAGUAGGUGGGGUAACGGCUCACCUAGGCGACGAUCCCUAGCUGGUCU